UGCUUUAUUUAGCCUUCUGUAGUGGUACCC
rnacentral:piRNA from 1 species